rnacentral:rRNA from 1 species
CCUACGGGAGGCAGCAGUGGGGAAUUUUGGACAAUGGGCGAAAGCCUGAUCCAGCAAUGCCGCGUGUGGGAAGAAGGCCUUCGGGUUGUAAACCACUUUUGUACGGAACGAAACGGUUCGCUUUAAUACAGUGGGCUAAUGACGGUACCGUAAGAAUAAGCACCGGCUAACUACGUGCCAGCAGCCGCGGUAAUACGUAGGGUGCGAGCGUUAAUCGGAAUUACUGGGCGUAAAGCGUGCGCAGGCGGUCAUAUAAGACAGUUGUGAAAUCCCCGGGCUCAACCUGGGAAUUGCAUCUGUGACUGUAUAGCUAGAGUACGGUAGAGGGGGAUGGAAUUCCGCGUGUAGCAGUGAAAUGCGUAGAUAUGCGGAGGAACACCGAUGGCGAAGGCAAUCCCCUGGACCUGUACUGACGCUCAUGCACGAAAGCGUGGGGAGCAAACAGGAUUAGAUACCCUGGUAGUCCACGCCCUAAACGAUGUCAACUGGUUGUUGGGUGCAUUAGUACUCAGUAACGAAGCUAACGCGUGAAGUUGACCGCCUGGGGAGGUACGGCCGCGAGUAGAACGUACGAAGAAGUAGACGGCGUGAGACGUGCCGACGGACGACGACGAGGGAGGUUAGG